rnacentral:rRNA from 1 species
AUUGAACGCUGGCGGAAUGCUUUACACAUGCAAGUCGAACGGCAGCACGGGGCAACCUGGUGGCGAGUGGCGAACGGGUGAGUAAUACAUCGGAACGUGCCCAAUCGUGGGGGAUAACGUAGCGAAAGUUACGCUAAUACCGCAUACGAUCUACGGAUGAAAGCGGGGGAUCGCAAGACCUCGCGCGAAUGGAGCGGCCGAUGUCAGAUUAGGUAGUUGGUGGGGUAAAGGCUCACCAAGGCGACGAUCUGUAGCGGGUCUGAGAGGAUGAUCCGCCACACUGGAACUGAGACACGGUCCAGACUCCUACGGGAGGCAGCAGUGGGGAAUUUUGGACAAUGGGGGCAACCCUGAUCCAGCCAUGCCGCGUGAGUGAAGAAGGCCUUCGGGUUGUAAAGCUCUUUCGGCCGGGAAGAAAUCGUAUGGGUUAAUACCCUGUGCGGAUGACGGUACCGGCAUAAGAAGCACCGGCUAACUACGUG